UCCUCUAUUGUGGGGCUGCCAUUUCUCUUUUUUUGGCAGGGAAUCCUGAUUGUACUUAAGGGCUGGUAGUCAUUUGUACCUGGAAGCUGCUUCCUUCACUUCAGAGUGUGGCCCAAUGGGUUUAAGGAUUGCCUGGGCUCCUCUAAUCAGUGGCGUGAGAUCUGUGCAACAAGUAAUGAACAUCAUGAGCCCAUAUUGGUGCACUGCUUGUAUGCAGGUAUUGAAAGGCUGUUACCAGGUUACCUUGGAGCCUUCACUUCUCC